rnacentral:rRNA from 1 species
UACGUUUGGUGCAAGCGUUAUCCGGAUUUACUGGGUGUAAAGGGAGUGUAGGCGGUUUUAUAAGUCUGAUGUGAAAGCCCGUAGCUCAACUGCGGGAUUGCAUUGGAAACUGUAGAACUAGAGUGUCGGAGAGGUAAGUGGAAUUCCUAGUGUAGCGGUGAAAUGCGUAGAUAUUAGGAGGAACACCAGUGGCGAAGGCGGCUUACUGGACGAUAACUGACGCUGAGGCUCGAAAGCGUGGGGAGCAAAC